UUCUGUCAGAUUGAUAGCAUAACAAAUAUACCAUAUGAUAAAAUAGAAAACUUAGCUCACAAUUUUAGAGCCACAUAACAAAUCUCCACCUUGGUUUAAAAUUGGGUCAAGCUACUCCAAAUAUAAUAGAAAUCUUCUCCAUCUUCUCCACUACUUUUCGAAAAGAAAAAAAAUUUAAAUAUUGCAAACACCAACCAAAUCCAAGCAAUGCUUGAACUUGAC
rnacentral:lncRNA from 1 species